rnacentral:rRNA from 1 species
AGUUUGAUCCUGGCUCAGGACGAACGCUGGCGGCGCGCUUAACACAUGCAAGUCGAGCGAGAACCGGACCUUCGGGUCCGGGGACAGCGGCGAACGGGUGAGUAACACGUGAGUAAUCCACCCUUGGCACCGGAAUAGCCCGGGGAAACUCGGAUUAAUGCCGGAUGGCCCGACAGCCUCUCGGGGCGGUCGGAAAAGAUAGCUUCGGCCUUCGGCCAAGGACGAGCUCGCGGCGGAUUAGCUUGUUGGCGGGGUAACGGCCCACCAAGGCGACGAUCCGUAGCUGGUCUGAGAGGACGAUCAGCCACACUGGGACUGAGACACGGCCCAGACUCCUACGGGAGGCAGCAGUGGGGAAUCUUGCGCAAUGGGCGAAAGCCUGACGCAGCGACGCCGCGUGAGGGAAGAAGGCCUUCGGGUUGUAAACCUCUUUCAGGAGGGACGAAGCCACUCGGGUGAAUAGCCCAGAGGGUGACGGUACCUCCAGAAGAAGCCCCGGCUAACUACGUGCCAGCCGCCGCGGUAAUAC